rnacentral:rRNA from 1 species
GAUGAACGCUGGCGGCGUGCCUAAUACAUGCAAGUCGAGCGAAGCGGGGGCGGGUGAGUAACACGUGGAUAACCUCCUAUAAGGCUGGGAUAACUUCGGGGAACCGGAGGUAAACCGGCAACUGAGAGCUGGAUCCGUGGUGCAUUAGCUAGUUGGUAAGGUAACGGCUUACCAAGGCAACGAUGCAUAGCCGACCUGAGAGGGGGAUCGGCCACACUGGAACUGAGACACGGUCCAGACUCCUACGGGAGGCAGCAGUAGGGAAUCUUCCGCAAUGGGCGAAAGCCUGACGCAGCCACGCCGCGUGAGUGAUGAAGGUCUUCGGAUCGUAAAACUCUGUUAUUAGGGAAGCGGUACCUAAUCAGAAAGCCACGGCUAACUACGUGCCAGCCGCCGCGGUAAUUC